GUCUGAAGAUGGUAGAGGCAGCAAAGAGACCUGCAUGGAUAAUGAUGGGGCCAUUGUAAGUAUUCCUUUUGAUGGUGUUGAAACUGAGCCCGAGCCAUUUGAUGCUAGUAAGAGACUGAGCACCGGAAUUGAUGAGAAGUUUGCAAUGAAGAGAUUUGGUAUUGGAUUGCAUCGAAGUAACAAGGCUGAUUCAUCAAAUAAGAGUAGCAAAGUCCCAAGCCCUCUCAAUGUUGAUUUGGAUCAAAAUUCCCCAUCUACCGAUAGAGUUAUUGAGAAAGA
rnacentral:lncRNA from 1 species